rnacentral:lncRNA from 1 species
AUGGGAAGGAAGACUCUCAGAGACCCGGAUGUCACUUUGCUGCUACUAGAGAAGGGGCGAGCCUGUGAAAUGAUGUCGGAAAAAUCAAUCAUCGAAAGAACUGUUGAGAUAUUAAAGUCUAAAAUCAGAUAUUCUGAUGAAUGUGCACUAACCUCACUGAAGGAAUCGGAGGUAUUUAUCAUGAUUCCAUCUUUCUUGAAAGCAUAUGUUGAGAAUCAGCUGCCAGUGUUUGCUGAGAAUGCAUUAUAUGCCAUCAGAAUGACACAAGGGAGGGAGUACAUGAUUGACAAGGCGCCUGAAGCUGACAGAUGUAACCUCAGUGAUGCGGACAGCCAUCAGUAUGAUGCCAUCAUUCCUGUGGACUUUCAAGCCAGUGGAGUGUUGGAAAAAAACAGGCGUUGGGGAGACGGCCUGCAGCAAUUUUUGGAGAUGAAACACAAGCUGGCAAUUUCACAGCUUUCUAACGUCACCAACUACAUGUCCAAUGUCCGCUUCUUUAAACGAUACAUCAGCGGAAAGGGCAUUUUUGGUGUCUCUGGGACAUUAGGGGGCAGCGCUGAGAAAGACUUCCUGGAAAGGAAUUACCAAACAGUGAGUUAUGUUAUUCCAUCUCACCGCCACAAGAAGGUUAUUGAGAUGCCAGCCGCUCAGGUGAGUGGAGGCAAGACUCGGUGGAUCCAGGUGAUCUGUGAAACAGCAUGGAGGGCUGCAGACAGGGGGCAGGUUGUGUUGAUCAUUUGUGAAGAUGUCAAGACUGCUGAUGAGCUGAAGGCAAAAAUGCAAGGCCAAGAAAGACAACCCAAUCAGAUCACCAUGUACACAAUCAGUGUAAAGCACAACAUUGAGAAGCAGAACUUCAGCAAGGGAAACAUCAUCAUUGCUACUAACCUUGGCGGACGUGGGACUGACAUUCAUGUUCAGCAGGAUGUGAAUGAGUGCGGAGGUCUUUUUGUGCUUCUCACUUACUUUCCUGAAAGUCAGCGAGUGGAGAGGCAGAUCUUUGGACGAACUGCCCGGAAAGGAAACCCAGGGAUGGUGCAGAUGGUACUUAACCGAGACUGUCUCGCACCAGCAUACCAAAGCCAGUCAGUUGAAACCAUGAGGCAACUCCGAGAGGAGUAUGAGGUCAGGCGUUUAGAUCGCAUGGAGAGGGAGGAGCUGUUUGAAAUUGAAAUGAAGGAAAAUCUGUUCUCCAGAUUUUGUGAUUUUCUCUGUGACUUCGACAAGAAUUACUCAGAGGAAGAGAGGAGCGACCUCACAAAAAUGAAGGAUGUUCCUGCAUGUUUCAAGACCCACCGCAAUAAGUUUGAUUACCAGACUGCACUUAAUGCUUUAAAAGAAUCCUGGGCUUUGUGGCUCAUCCUCCAUGAAAAGCACAUCAGCAGACAUGAUGACGUCACAGUGCUGACAGAAGACCUUACCAAACUCUUACAGAGGACAGGAGAUGGCCUCCUGCAGGGGAGAAGCAACAACUUCUAUGAUUCUAUGAUCUAUUCUAUGAUCAUUCAGGCAAAAAGCAGAACCGACUUGUACUGCACUGACAAACAGAGAUGUGACUAUGGAGCAGUGUCUUACUGGCAGAGUGCCACAAAGUGCAAUCCAUUCUACGGUGCCGUGUCUCUCUACAAUGAAGCAUACAUUACAAUUGCGCUUGCAGGAAGAGACUACAUUGCUCAGGGGAAAGGAUUACUGGAGAAGGCAAAGACAGCGGUGGAUGUGUAUCUCUCAGAAGCCUCUAACACCAUGAUGUUUUGUAAUUUGUCUGUGACCGACUUCAAACCACACCACAAAGACUGCAACCUGCAGGCCCAAAUGCAGGCCAGGAUGAACAUCUUUAAAUCAUGGAAAGGGUACAUUGAGAGUGCCCUGGAAACUCUUACAAGGCUUGAGAGCAGCCAAAAAGAUGCAGUGAUCGAGGAUUCCAGCAUCUACCGUCUUUCAAAGGACAAAGAUCACAUCACGACUAACGAACUGAUGAUCCUCUAUGAGUUCGGCCUUGGCAUCGUGUUCGAGGUUAAAAGGAAGCCUGAAUUCUCCUAUGAUGCCCUUGCUUGUUUUGCUCUUGGUGUCAUUCAGGUAGCAGCAGGUGUUCUUGUGUGUACUCUGUCAUAUGGCACUGCCAGUCAGUUUGGACUUGGACUGAUCAGUGAGGGAGUGUCUGACAUGAUUUAUGGGUUCAAAGGAAUGAUGCAAGGAGGCUUCGACUGGGUUCAGUGGGCAGUCUCCAAAGCCAUUAGCAUCGGCGUGUCUUUGGUCUUUGGAGGGUUAGGUCGACUCAAAAACGCUGCAAGUGCAGUUCGUACUGGAGCAAAGGGUCUGAUUACUGGUGCUAAGUGUGGCUCCGUCAUCACUGUGAAGCAGUGUUUUAAACAUGCCACAAAGUAUGUUGUUCAAGAACUGGGGAAGCACGGAUGUUUCGCCGCCGUGGAUUAUGCCGCCAACAAAGGACUGUCAGUCAUUUUUCACAAAGUUCUGAAAGACACUUUUGAGGGGAAGGUUCUUACAAUGAUAAAAGCGAACAAUUCCCUGGACGAGGCUCUCACAGACUUGGUUUGCUCAGGAGUACCAAAGGCCGUCCUGCAGAACCCGGCCAGUGACUUCAAAGUUGACAUGAAAUGUGAAGAACUAAUGUGUAAAUCAGUGAAUGAGAUGACAAGACAAGUCAUUCCUGAGCUAAUGUUGGAUUGCACCAUGGUCAUGAAGGGUCUGGAUGCCCUGUCAAACAUCUGUGGGACUUUGUCACAGCAUAUACAGAGCGAGAAAAGGUUUGAUCAAAUGCGACGAAUAAUGCUGUGUGUGGAAGGAGCUAAAUAUGCCACACUUUGUGUGCAAAUCUGGAAUUCAUUUCCUACAGAGGACGUCAUCAAUAAAACAUUUGUUCCUCGGUUUUUGCAAACCAUGAAAAGACACUCACCAGAAAAAUAUGACCACGACGGAAGAGAUGAUUUAUCAGAUGUGAAUCGGCUUAAAAAGGAACUCAUCACCAGCAUUGCACAAAGUGUGUCAAGCUCAUUUAUUGAGGCCUGUUCCAGGCACAUGAUCUCCAUCACAACCAAGUCCUGCAUUAGCACAAUAAACUCUGCUGCUGGGCAUGCAGUCAGCAACCUGCUGGGCCGGAGCGACACCCACAGUUUCUUUGACAACCAGAUGUAUAAACACAAACUGAAUGAGGCUGUCCAUGGACCAGCUGAGUGUCCAUCAGAGUCCGAGAAGGAGGACUUGGUGUGUUACGUGGAUGAGAUUUGUGAUGUCAACCGCCCAGCUACGUCUCUGGACCUCCAUGUCUUGUCCCAAAGUGAGGUUCUUGAAGGCAAAGGUAUCAGACUCAUUAUGGUGGACAAACAUGGGAAGAAGCUCUCGGAGGACUAUUAUGCAGGGACAGAGAACUCUGCCGGUGACAUAGUCCUCCAGCUGACCAGGGAGCCAGAGAACCCACAGCAGUCCAACAAAUUUAUGUCAAAGAUCACAAAGUGGAUGCAUGGGGAACAGAGUCCAUACAGUGGACACUUUGAAACUCUGAGCCCAGAUGGCGCUUUGAUCCCCGUACGUUCAGAAGGUCAGAACUGUCUCUACCACGCCAUCGCCCAGGCAACAAUCAGCAGCCCCGGCAACCUGAGGCAGGAGGCAGCGAGCCUGCGGGAUGCAGUCAGACAUUCUCUCCAACAAAACAUGCACAGAUAUGCGCCUGCUCUGAAGCUUCAGAAGGGAUAUGAAGAAACGUACAAGUCUCCUGGAAAAUAUUACAUCAGCGGAGGAAGUCUGAAGACAAAGAAGGAGCUCAAAGACAAAUACAAAAACUGCUUGAAUGGGACUGACUUCCCUGAAGAUGAUGCCACUGCUGUCAAUCUCUACAAACUUGGAAUGGUCGGGACGAUGAAUGAUAUAAAAGCCGUUCGUAAGGAGAACAGACAGAACUCCUCCAGACCUGAUAACAACAACAAAAACAGCUGCCCUGUGAAUGCAGACCACAUUCCACCUAAAAACAGCUUAAAGAAGGCUUAUGAAAUGCUGCAGCAACCCGAGAACCUCCAGCAGGCACAGAGACUUCAGAAGGAGCAACCAAAACUCUACCAAAUGCUGACUGAAAACGGAAACCAGGGGCUCUGCAGAGAGGUUCUCACAGAGCACCACAAGCAGAUCCUGACCACUGGCUCGAGCAAAGAGUGUAAACAGAUCAGGCAGAAGCUGGCUGACAUCACUGUCACAGGAGACGUGGAGAAACUGAUUAAGUGUUCACUGAUCGUGUCCAGUCCAGAGAUGUGCAAGUUCCUCAGAAAUGAUGCAGGAAUAACCAGGAGGAGCAGGGAGCCAGAUGUGCCUGUUUCCAGCAAGGGCACCAAACAGUACCACGACAUGGGAGACAGGAUGUUGGUGGAAGGUUACCAUAACCGAGGAGUCAUAGACCAGGGGGCCAAAGAAAAUCUGAUGACGUGGCUGGAUCACAACCGACUCUACUUAAGGAACACACCAGAGUAUCAUGAGCUCCUCAGCGUGAUCAAGAAAAACAAUAACAAUGUUAAUGACUGUUAAUGAAAUGAUCUUGAAGAUCUUCUUUGAUCAUACUCAGCCAUGAUAACACAUUUUGCUGGGCGAUUAAUUGCCCAGCAAAAUUAUUGCGAUAAGUGAUAAUAUUGUGGUUUUGAGACCAUUUCAAACUAAUAUAAUGAUAACGACAUAAUAAUGCAAGUACACCCUUUCAAAGAUCAAUAAUUAACAGAUCUUUAAUUUCUAAAGAACAUUUAAUACUAGAAAGGCCCCAAUCAUUAUUGUCAUCAUUAUUAUUAAUGUAUUAAGUAGCCUAAGGGUGGGCUAUUACUAUACCAUAUUUUAGCAUAGUCAGUGGAGUUAAGUCAAUCCAACUAGCAUGGCUGCAGCGGUGGGCUCACCUGCGCGCACACGUGUCUUUGUGUGCGUUUGUGUGCACGACUCUCUCUGAUAGCAGGUUGUAUACAUAUUAUAUAAACAUGCUUAUAUACAUAAGCAUGUGUAGUCUCCUGGUGAAUUGUGUUCAGAGCUCUCUGUGUUGCUGUAACCAGCGUCCAAGCCCUGCAGCACCGUGACAGCGAGCUGACCGUGGUCUGCUCAGAACAUCCCGUAAACGUCACACAAUGAGUUAAAAAAUAAGAACUACCUGUUGAUUUGACACAUUUUAAGACAGAAGCCGCGGGACAUAUUAAAUAUGACGGCCGGACUUUGCACACUUUAUACACCACGACGCACCGAGUGAGAGAGAGAGAGAGGAAAACAAACGAGCGUGCAAAUGUAAUUUAUCGCGGCCGAAAAACGUAUCGAGCCCAUUUAAAGUUAUUGUGCAAUUAAUUGAUUUAUUGUUUAUCGCGACAGGCCUACCUACACUAUGAACAAACACCGAUCAUUUCUUGUGCAAGCAGCACUUUUCACUAACAGAGACCAUGAAAACACUUGAUGUAACUUCGGCUGUUGACUCAUUCAUUCAUUGAUCACUUCCUGUCAUGUUUCCAGUGUUGUUGAGGAAUAAUAUAGAUCCAUCCAUCAUCUAUUAACCCGCUUCAUCCUGCAGUGCAGGGUCACGGGGGUGGAGUCCAUCCCAGCUAACUUCGGGUGAGAGGCGGGGUCCACCCUGGACAGGUCUAAUAUAAACAGACAUUGAAGCUCUGCAGUGUAUUCAUGUUUGCACACCUUACAGGUGUUGUAACCUUACAGAAACUAGAAGAACACCUUCAUGGAGGCUUCAGUUUGGAAGAAGAUGCUGGACUUCCUUUGCUUUUUAAUCACCAUCAGUACAAAUGUUAAAUAUUAAAUAUUGCCAUCCAGUUUAUGUAAAAAUGUAAUUACACAGGCAUAAUAAAGUCACC